rnacentral:rRNA from 1 species
UUACCGGCUCGAACGGAGGGAAACUCCGCAAGGCCGAGGUGCUGCAUGGCUGUCGUCAGCUCGUGUCGUGAGAUGUUGGGUUAAGUCCCGCAACGAGCGCAACCCUGUCUGUGUUGCCAUGCGAGCGGACUCUCAGAGACCGCCAGCGAUAACUGGAGGAAGGUGGGGAUGACGUCAAGUCAUCAUGGCCUUUAUGCCGGGCUACACACGUGCUACAAUGGGGUACAAGCGGCAUCGCAAGAGGAGCAAUCGCAAAACCGUCUCAGUUCGGAUUGCAGGCUGCAACCCGCCUGCAUGAAGCUGGAAUCGCUAGUAAUGGCGAUCAGAUGCGCCGUGAAUACGUUCCCGGGCCUUGUACACACCGCCCGUCACAUCACGAAAGUGGGUGACUGAA